GAGGGACUGUGGCCUGGUGGUAGAGCAUCUGCUUGGCAUGUAGAAGGGCCCAGAUCCAAUACCUGGCAUCUUCA
rnacentral:tRNA from 1 species